GACGAACGCUGGCGGCGUGCUUAGCACAUGCAAGUCGAACGGUGAAGCGCCUGCCUUUUUGGUGGGUGCGGAUGUGUGGCGAACGGGUUAGUAACACGUGAGUAACCUGCGUCCUUCUGCUGGGUAACCGCAUGAAAUUGUGGCGCAGACGGGAUAGUCUGGGUCGGGCGCAGGAGUGGGCUGAGAAAGUGAUGGUGUCGGUGGGGGAGGGGCUCGCGGCCUAUCAGCUUGUUGGUGGGGUGAUGGCCUACCAAGGCGGUGACGGGUAGCCGGCCUGAGGGGGUGGAGGGACACAGUGGGACUGAGCCACCGCCUAGACUCGUACGGGGGGCAGCAGUGGGGAAUAUUGCACCAUGGGCGCAAGCCUGAUGCCGCGACGCCGCGUGAGGAAUGGAGGACUUCGGGUUGUGAACCUCUUUCGCGAGUGAAGCAGGCCUGGCCCGUCUGUGCGUGGCUUGACGGUAGCUGGAUAAGCAGCGCCGGCUAACUACGUG
rnacentral:rRNA from 1 species